GUGGCGGCCGAGCACAUGGGCCCGCGGGCCGGGCGGGCUCGGGGCGGCCGGGACGAGGAGGGGCGACGACGAGCUGCGAGCAAAGAUGUGCCCCGGGACCCCCGGCACCUUCCAGUGGAUUUCCUUGCGGAAAGGAUGUUGGCGGUCCCUGUGACCUGUGGAGACACGGCCAGAUCUGCCCUCCAGAUUUAUUAGGAGAAAAACCUUCCCGGAAGCUGCAGAAGGACAAAUACAGAAUCCGUGUCUGGGAGAAACCUCGUGGCCUGGUCUCCAUUAUUUGAGAUGAGUUACAUCUUGGAGGUGAGGACGUGCCUCGUGGUCUAAAGCUUCGGCACAAGGGCCCAACUGGAAUUCCACUUACGGGCCUGAUCUUUUGGCCAGAAGGAGAUUAAAAAGAUGCCCCUCAAGAUGGCUGUGCCUGUCAGCUGCAUGGAGCUUCGUUCAAGUAUUUUCUGAGCCUGAUGGAUUUACAGUGAUCUUCAGUGGUCUGGGGAAUAACGCUGGUGGAACCAUGCACUGGAAUGACACACGCCCGGCACAUUUCAGGAUACUAAAAGUGGUUUUAAGGGAGGCUGUGGCUGAAUGCCUCAUGGAUUCUUACAGCUUGGAUGUCCAUGGGGGACGAAGGACUGCAGCUGGCUGAGAGGGUUGAGAUCUCUGUUUACUUAGAUCUCUGCCAACUUCCUUUGGGUCUCCCUAUGGAAUGUAAGACCCCGACUCUUCCUGGUGAAGCAUCUGAUGCACGUUCCAUCCGGCGCUCAGCUGGGCUUGAGAUUCCUGGGAACACCACCAUGGAGGGCCUGGCCUUUGGCGGUGGACAGUCUGUGGCUGGGUGGGAACGUCAGGAGUGGGGCCUGCCUCUUUGCUGGGAAUGCCGUGCACUCCCAGCCCACUUGCCCCAUGCCAGCACUCGAGGCAGGACUUCGCAGGUGAGCAGUAACGGAAAUCAGCCCCGUUUAUUCCUCCCAGCACCUGCCUUAUCCAACUCCCCACGCUGUGGCUGAGUCCCAGCCUGCUAUGGAAGCAUCACUGGACUCCCAUUGAACUCUGUGCAGAUUCGCUGUUCGUAGACAUGGUACCUGAUGGACACCAAGCUACGUACAGCUUCAAGGCCCCUUCUUUCUUUGCUAAUAAAAAAUAAAAAAUAAAAACAUAAUACACGU
rnacentral:lncRNA from 1 species